rnacentral:rRNA from 1 species
UACGUAGGGGGCAAGCGUUGUCCGGAUUUACUGGGCGUAAAGAGCGUGUAGGCGGCCAGACAGGUCCGUUGUGAAAACUCGAGGCUCAACCUCGAGACGCCGAUGGAAACCGUCUGGCUAGAGUCCGGAAGAGGAGAGUGGAAUUCCUGGUGUAGCGGUGAAAUGCGUAGAUAUCGGGAGGAACACCAGUGGCGAAGGCGACUUCCUGGCCUGUUCUUGACGCUGAGGCGCGAAAGCUAGGGUAGCAAACGGG